GUACACGCUGUGACUAGCAUAUCAAUAAGCGGAGGAAAAGAAACUAACAAGGAUUCCCCUAGUAACGGCGAGUGAAGCGGGAAGAGCUCAAAUUUGAAAUCUUAAAGGGUUUCCCUUUACGAAUUGUAGUUUAAAGAAGUGUUUUCUGUUGAGGUUUUGGUAAAAGUUCUUUGGAAUAGGACAUCAUAGAGGGUGAGAAUCCCGUAUUUGACCUUUACUUUCAACUUUGUGAUACACUUUCAAAGAGUCGGAUUGUUUGGGAAUGCAGUCCAAAAUGGGUGGUAAAUUUCAUCUAAAGCUAAAUAUUGGCGAGAGACCGAUAGCGAACAAGUACCGUGAGGGAAAGAUGAAAAGAACUUUGAAAAGAGAGUUAAACAGUACGUGAAAUUGUCAAAAGGGAAGCGUUUGACACCAGUGUUGUUUUUCUGAAAAUCAAUUAAAGAACUGUUUAUGCUAAGCUGUUUAGACUUUAUCAGCUAUCUGUUUAGUUUUGAGCUUUUCUUUAAUGCACUUUUCAGUUAACAAGUCAACAUCAAUUUCUUUUGCUGUAAAAAAGCUUGAGGAAGGUGGCUUGAGAUUCGUCUUAAGUGUUUAUAGCCUCUUGCCUAUGCAGUCGGAGAGAUUGAGGUCUGCAGCGUAGAUCCUUCGGGGCUAAAUGCAUUUGUGCUAAGUUAUAGCAUUUCAUAGACAACUUGUUGACUAUGAUUUGUCUUGUAGCUUACUCGCUUAUGUUAUUUUACCUACGCUUAGGAUGUUGACGAGACUGUCGAUCUC
rnacentral:rRNA from 1 species